GAUGAACGCUGGCGGCGUGCCUAAUACAUGCAAGUCGAGCGAACGGAUGAGAAGCUUGCUUCUCUGAUGUUAGCGGCGGACGGGUGAGUAACACGUGGAUAACCUACCUAUAAGACUGGGAUAACUUCGGGAAACCGGAGCUAAUACCGGAUAAUAUUUUGAACCGCAUGGUUCAAAAGUGAAAGACGGUCUUGCUGUCACUUAUAGAUGGAUCCGCGCUGCAUUAGCUAGUUGGUAAGGUAACGGCUUACCAAGGCAACGAUGCAUAGCCGACCUGAGAGGGUGAUCGGCCACACUGGAACUGAGACACGGUCCAGACGCCGACGGGAGGCAGCAGUAGGGAAUCUUCCGCAAUGGGCGAAAGCCUGACGGAGCAACGCCGCGUGAGUGAUGAAGGUCUUCGGAUCGUAAAACUCUGUUAUUAGGGAAGAACAUAUGUGUAAGUAACUGUGCACAUCUUGACGGUACCUAAUCAGAAAGCCACGGCUAACUACGU
rnacentral:rRNA from 1 species